rnacentral:rRNA from 1 species
GAUGAACGCUGGCGGCGUGCCUAAUACAUGCAAGUCGAACGAACGGACGCGAAUCUUGCUGCGCUGAUGUUGGCGACGGGCGGGUGAGUCGCGCGUAGAUAACCUACAUCUAAGACUGAAAUAACGUCGAGAAAGCGGAACUACUACCGGGUACUAUUAUGACCCGGAGGGUUCAAGAGUGAAAGACGGGCUUGCGGUCGAUUCUAGAUGGAUCCGCGCUGCAUUAGCUAGUUGGUACGGUAACGGCUUAACAAGGAAGCGAUGCGUAGGCGAAAUGAGAGGGGGAUCGCCCACCCGGGAGCGGAGCCGCGGUCCAGGCUCCUACGGGAGGCAGCAGUCGGGAAUGGUCCGCAACGGGCGAAAGCCUUACGGAGCAACGGCGCGUGUGUUAUGGCGGCCCCGCGUGCGUAAAGCCCUGUUACUAGGUAUGAACAUAUGUCUAUGGAACUGUGCACAUCGUGACGGUACCUAAAGAGAAAGCCCCGGCUAACUACGUG